rnacentral:rRNA from 1 species
UACGUAGGGGGCAAGCGUUGUCCGGAAUCAUUGGGCGUAAAGAGCGUGUAGGCGGCCCGGUAAGUCCGCUGUGAAAGUCCAGGGCUCAACCCUGGAAUGCCGGUGGAUACUGUCGGGCUCGAGUCCGGAAGAGGUGAGUGGAAUUCCUGGUGUAGCGGUGAAAUGCGCAGAUAUCAGGAGGAACACCAAUGGCGAAGGCAGCUCACUGGUACGAUACUGACGCUGAGGAGCGAAAGCGUGGGGGAGCGAACAGG